AGAGAAGUAGCCAAGAGGUAAGGCACUGGAUUUUGAUUCCAGCAUCCGAAGGUUCAAAUCCUUCCUUCUCUA
rnacentral:tRNA from 1 species